rnacentral:misc_RNA from 1 species
GAUGAAGAACGCAGUGAAAUGCGAUAAGUAAUGUGAAUUGCAGAAUUCAGUGAAUCUUCGAAUCUUUGAACGCACAUUGCGCCCGCCAGUAUUCUGGCGGGCAUGCCUGUUCGAGCGUCAUUUCAACCCUCAAGCCCCCGGGCUUGGUGUUGGGGAUCGGCGUGCCCUCGCGGCGCGCCGUCCCCUAAAUCUAGUGGCGGUCUCGCUGUAGCUUCCUCUGCGUAGUAGCAACACUCGCACUGGAUCGCAGCGCGGCCACGCCGUUAAACCCCCCACUUCUGAAAGUUUGACCUCGGAUCAGGUAGGAAUACCCGCUGAACUUAAGCAUAUCAAUAAGCGGAGGA